rnacentral:rRNA from 1 species
AAUGCAGCGGAUCCGCAUGGAUAUGUUGUUAAAGGUUUACCGCCUUGGGAUAGGCUUGCGUCUGAUUAGCUAGUUGGUGUGGUAAUGGCACACCAAGGCUACGAUCAGUAACUGGUCUGAGAGGAUGAUCAGUCACACUGGAACUGAGACACGGUCCAGACUCCUACGGGAGGCAGCAGUGAGGAAUAUAGGGCAAUGCACGAAAGUGUGACCCAGCAACGCCGCGUGGAGGAUGAAGGUAUUCUAUAUCGUAAACUCCUGUGAGAGCAGACGAAAGACAGAUUAUUAAUUUGGAUGACUGUAUGCUCAGAGGAAGCCCCGGCUAACUACGUG